rnacentral:misc_RNA from 1 species
GAAAUGCGAUAAGUAGUGUGAAUUGCAGAAUUCAGUGAAUCAUCGAAUCUUUGAACGCACAUUGCGCCCCUUGGUAUUCCAUGGGGCAUGCCUGUUCGAGCGUCAUUUGUACCUUCAAGCUUUGCUUGGUGUUGGGUGUUUGUCCCGAGGGACUCGCCUUAAAGUAAUUGGCAGCCAGUGUUUGGUUUUGAAGCGCAGCACAAGUCGCGGUUCAAAGCUACACGCCAGCUUCCACAAGCCUUUUUCACUUUUGACCUCGGAUCAGGUAGGGAUACCCGCUGAACUUAA